rnacentral:ncRNA from 2 species
AUUUUCCGCCGGGGGAGCUCUUCAGUAAGCUGAGAGUGCAGCUUUUAAAAGGCUGCAGACCCCUAGGACCUGAACUGGGUAAUACCAGCGUAGGCAGGGCGGUAGUUGAAAAUA